rnacentral:lncRNA from 1 species
AUGCAAGCCGGGACGCCGGCACGGACGCGCAGACAGGCUUCACCUUUACAAACGAGGCUCUUUGCUGGAGCUGCUGCUUCUCAGCCCAGGGCUCGGCUGCUGCUCGGGGCAGGGCUCGCGGCCGCACGAGCAAAGAGAGAGAAGGGAGUGGGGUUUUCCUGCAGCACCGGGUCUUGUGCGGGCCACCGAGACCCCGGUGGGGACCCGCUCUGCGCGGCGAGCCCCGAGCUGCUGCGGUGCACCGGGGGCUGGCAGCACCCUCCUUCACCCCAAAACUCACCACCAACCUCCUGCCCCUGGCCUCCCCAAAGCCCUGGCAGAAGGACGGGUGUGGCUGGCCUCCAAAAUGCCCCAGACCCCCUCACUUUACAUGGGGGCCAAGUGGGUGAGCUGCUUCACGCCACUGUGCUGGCAGCGGGUCGCUGCCUGUCCCCUCCAAACCCACCUGAGAGCAGCUCCAGCAGCCCUUGCAGCCACCCCCAGGCCCCCAUGGCCCUGCUCCAAGCAGGGCUCAGACCCCCUAGGACCCUUUUUACCCCCUGGCUCAGGGUGGGGGGGAUGCACCCCUGGCACCAAGAGGGCUGGGCUCCCCGUCCAGCUUGCCGGGAGCACUCCCAGGGCCACCCGAUUGCAGCGAUUAAAGGGCAGCUCCGGAGGAAACCCCCCGCCUCAAUUCUCUCUCUCGUGCCCUGGUUCGUGCCGGUACAGAGGCUGGGGGGUUCUGCUCCAAGCCCCUGCUUUUCCAGGAGGAAAAAGCUUUCCUCCUGCUUUUCCAGGAGGAAACUUCUCAGCCCAGUCCCAGAGCGCAGGGAAAGGCGGACACAAAGCAGCGACAGUCAGCGCGCGAACAGAGGACUGAAAAGAAGGGGAGCACAGACACUGCGUUUUAAUCAGGCAACACUGACGGGACAAAUGAGGGGGGGACACACGCUGCAGCCACCGGGGCGGGGGGGACCCACGCCUCUGCCUCAGGUCCCCCUCCCCGGCGCCGCGGCGUCAUUUCAGCCGCGAAACCGAGCACAGGGAACGGCCCGAAACGGAGGGGCUCCUGCCGGCCGCUUGGUUUUAAUGAUGACCAGGUUGAAAAUGAGGACAGAAAUUAAUUAUUCCGUGGUGUCGGCUCCAACCCAGCAGCUCCUGCCAUGCUCCUGGAGCUCCACGUGGGUGGGUUUUUGGUGGGUGCUGCCAAGCCCCCGUGGCCAUGCCCAGCGCUGGCGCUCCCCCAGCCCAGCACCCAGCCGCUCUCCGGGGCUCACCCAAUGUUUCAUCGAUGGGGAAACUGAGGCACAAGGAGGUUAA